rnacentral:rRNA from 1 species
GACGAACGCUGGCGGCGUGCCUAAUACAUGCAAGUUGAGCGAUGAAGCUUGGUGCUUGCACCUAUUUGAAGAGCAGCGAACGGGUGAGUAACGCGUGGGUAAUCUGCCUUUGAGCGGGGGACAACAUUGGGAAACGAAUGCUAAUACCGCAUAACAACUUUAACCAUAAGUUUUAAGUUUGAAAGAUGCAAUUGCAUCACCCAAAGAUGAUCCCCCGUCGUAUUAGCUAGUUGGUGAGGUAAAGGCCCACCAAGGCGAUGAUACAUAGCCGGCCUGGGAGGGUGGUCGGCCACAUUGGGACUGGGGCACGGCCCAAAACUCCUCGGGAGGCAGCAGGAGGGAAUCUUUGGCAAUGGACGAAAGUCUGAACGAGCAACGCCGCGGGAGGGAAGAAGGUUUUCGGAUCGGAAAACUCUGUUGGUAGGGAAGAACGUUGGGGAGAGUGGAAAGCGCAUCAAGUGACGGUAACUACUCAGAAAGGGACGGCUAACUACGUG